GGAGGAAUACCGGUGGCGAAGGCGGCCCCCUGGACGAAGACUGACGCUCAGGUGCGAAAGCGUGGGGAGCAAACAGGAUUAGAUACCCUGGUAGUCCACGCCGUAAACGAUGUCGACUUGGAGGUUGUGCCCUUGAGGCGUGGCUUCCGGAGCUAACGCGUUAAGUCGACCGCCUGGGGAGUACGGCCGCAAGGUUAAAACUCAAAUGAAUUGACGGGGGCCCGCACAAGCGGUGGAGCAUGUGGUUUAAUUCGAUGCAACGCGAAGAACCUUACCUGGUCUUGACAUCCACGGAAGUUUUCAGAGAUGAGAAUGUGCCUUCGGGAACCGUGAGACAGGUGCUGCAUGGCUGUCGUCAGCUCGUGUUGUGAAAUGUUGGGUUAAGUCCCGCAACGAGCGCAACCCUUAUCCUUUGUUGCCAGCGGUCCGGCCGGGAACUCAAAGGAGACUGCCAGUGAUAAACUGGAGGAAGGUGGGGAUGACGUCAAGUCAUCAUGGCCCUUACGACCAGGGCUACACACGUGCUACAAUGGCGCAUACAAAGAGAAGCGACCUCGCGAGAGCAAGCGGACCUCAUAAAGUGCGUCGUAGUCCGGAUUGGAGUCUGCAACUCGACUCCAUGAAGUCGGAAUCGCUAGUAAUCGUGGAUCAGAAUGCCACGGUGAAUACGUUCCCGGGCCUUGUACACACCGCCCGUCACACCAUGGGAGUGGGUUGCAAAAGAAGUAGGUAGCUUAACCUUCGGGAGGGCGCUUACCACUUUGUGAUUCAUGACUGGGGUGAAGUCGUAACAAGGUAACCGUAGGGGAACCUGCGGUUGGAUCACCUCCUUACCUUAAAGAAGC
rnacentral:rRNA from 1 species